GAGGGGUUAGUUAAACAAUAACACUGCCUUGUCAAGACAGAAUUACUAGUUAAACUCUUGUACCCCUCU
rnacentral:tRNA from 1 species